GAAGAAUGUGGCGAAGGUGCUGGCGAACACCACAUUACGGUCGCGUACAGCGCAGCCGAUCGCCACGCUCACCUGCAUGAGAGGGAAGGGAGAGGCGGCAGAAAAGAGGCCGUAAAGCGACGGCAGUCUAUUGUUGGAGAGAAAUCCGCGAUUCUUUCUAGAUCGCAGCGGAACAAAGGAGACACACGUGGAGCGACCCAAACCAGUUCCCACUCAGCUGAGACUCGGUGUCACCUCACCGGCACAGGGUGGCCCUCCAGGAUAGAGUCGACUUUACGGAGGUUCAGAAGCUCGUUCUCCUUCAGGUAGCCGACCUCUGCCCAGACAGCAUACAGCACAGGAGCUGCAUGACCCUGGAGAGGCAAAGGAAAGACGUUGGCUUCUAAAUACACUCGCUAAACAGCUGCUUGUUUCUCCACAGGAGACCAGGUCAAAGCCUACAUGCAGAUGGGCGUUCUGGUUUUACCUUGGAGAGGAUGAAGCGAUCAUUGUUGGGGUUACGGGGGUCUUCGGGUCGAUACUUCAUGGAAUGAAAGAAGAGCACAGACAUGAUCUCUGCCACGCUGCAGCAUGAUGUGGGAUGGCUGCAAAAACAAGAGAAAACUCUGACAUGUGGCUUUUAGUCAAAGAUAAAAGCAAUUCUGUUUAAAUCUACAAGCAUGUUCUGCGCAUGUGCAGACAUGGAGAUGAGACUGAGCAGGAAGAUAACCAACGAGGUUACGUCCUUCCAGACCACCUGUCAUGCCAUGAUGCAACGACACACCACUGGUUUCUGGAAUAAAUACACCUGAUACAUCUUUGUAUAUUAUACAUCCAGAGGAACGGAACAGUUUCUGUAUAUUAUAUGAUGCCAAGAUAUGGGAGAGCUAUCAUAGUUCAACAAAAACUAGGCUGAACCUUUUGUUUGCAAAUCAUCCCGGUUAUACCGAACUUAGCAAUCCAAACAGGCAUUUUUCCUGUUUUUAUACGUUUAAAAAGUAAACAAAAUAAAAGUAGCAGAAGAUCAUUAAAAAAAAAAAAUAAAAUAACAAGUAAUUUUGCAAACAAAUUGGAAUAUCAGAUUUUCAUUACAUUUUCAGCUAAACCAAUUAAAUUUUCUCAAGGCCCUCCCUCCUCUUCCACAAGCCCCCUCCUCAAAUAGUCCUCUGAAACACUUGACCAAUCCUCCAAAUCCAUCUAUUAUAAAUGUACGACUUUAAUUGGUUGAAGAAAAAAAAAAAAUCACUAAAGUAGCAUGUUUUAGUUCUCAAAAUCCAUAGGAAAUAAUUGUAAUUUUUGUCAAAUUGCGCACAACCACUAAAAGAGCCAGAGAAAUAGCAACAAUAUCACUUAGAAAUUACAUUCCCGACAUGUAAAAAAAAAAUAAAAACGAUGCCUUUCGCAGUGAUUUCUUAUUAAGUGACAACAAUUUAAAGCACAGCUCCAAUCAGCAGGUCUCACCCGCUGCCCGCUGCAGUUGUCGCCUUGAUGGAGUUGAUUCGGAGCCGGAUGGCGAUAUUCCUGAGCGCCUGCACCGUCUGCUGGUCCGGCUUGUGGUAGUCCUCCAUCUGUCCGAUGCAGUAAAACAGAGGCGGGGGCGAAAAAAAAAAAGCAGAGGCAGAGAGGCAACACACAAGCGGGACAAAACUCAAGGAAAGAGUUAAAAAGCCGCAGGCCAGAUGUUCAGUUCAGGAGAAUAAAACAUGGAAGACGAUGGAUGCGCAUCGGACGAUGGCAGGGGUUAAGAGGAGGCAGCAAUGUGCGGCGUGAGAAAGUCACAGAGGGAGGAUGGAGGAGGGAGGGGGUGUGUUUGUAAGCAAAGUCUAUGAAUAUGGCUCGUAUGGGUCUGUAGUUUAUCCAAACGCGGCGCAACUCCUAUGGGUGCAAGGAAUGAAAUCAUAAAUCCGCCAGUACGUUUCUCGGAUCUUUUAAUGUAGACCGUUUAAUAGUUAGAAAUUCAAACUACACUGAACUCUAUGUUGUGAUUCUCAGUUAUUAACAAAAAUGACGAAAGAUCAAAAGCGCCAUCGUCCAUCCAGAUGUUUACUGAAAGCUGAUAGUGACACCUGGUGGACAAUACGGAGAAGUGCAAUGUUUAUUAAAGCAAUGGCAUUGAGCAAUUACUUAACGUUUCAAUCAAAACGUAAAAAAAAAAAAACCUCCCCAAAAACCUGAAUUUUACAUGUUUCUUUGAACAAAGGCUAAUCCCAGUAUGAUUUCAGCUUUGUAAUAUCUUAAAGGAGACAAAAAACAGCACAUAUGCACACAUUUUUGAGUUCAGAUCUUUAUUAUCACAAAAUAUGUAUAAUGUCCACUUUAUGCACAAUGACAAACCUAAAAAAAUACUUAAUUUGCAAUGACUUACCCAAGAAACACAACUCUGGGCAAAAUGAUAAAUAAUGAUCUUAAAAUCUUAAAUAUGACACUUGGUUCAUAUAUUUGUUCCUUAUUCAGAAAUCCUAGAACAGAUGGACUGGAAAAAAGCAUUCAUUUAAUCAAGAUUUCCACUUAGUACCGGAAACAUCGACUGACAUCUGGUUUGUUCCAGGCUGCACAUAUUUAACCUUGUAUCUCUGAGCUUAAUUAAAAAAAGAAAGAAAAAGAAACGGCACUGAAGUUCAGAGCUGAUGUUGAUAGCAAACACAUUCAAGUCAUGAUGUCACAGCCAAAGGAUUUACGCCACAAUUAUUGGUAAAGAUGAGCAAAAAAAAGUAUUAAAAACAGUUUGCUGUAGCAACAGACCGAGGAACACAAUGGAGUUGGAAUUGGUUGCAUUUUUGCUUUUUCAAUUAGUAAUUUAUUAGACCAAUUUCUUGCAGUUAUCCAAAUGUGAACUUUAGAUUUCUUUUACCUGGAGUUUCCUUAUCCAGCUUUCAAAUUUUCACAAUGUUUCAGUCACAGGUGGGUUUAGGAGAACAGAGAAUUUCUUGUAGUCAGUUGCAACUCUUUCUGUGUUUAAAGGCGUUUUCUCUUAGUUCCCAUUUUGAACAGUGACUAAGAAAAUUUGGGUUUUGAAAUAGGAAGGUAUUUAUUACUACGAAUAUUUCCCAGGCACUCUGAUCAAUAAAAAAAAAAAAAGCAAAAACAUACAUUUAAAAAAUCUUCAGUUGUUCAGAUUUGUAAUUAUUAGGGGUGUCAAUAAGUGUGGCACCUGUAAUUUUGUAAAAAAAAUUAAAAAAAAUAAAUAAAAAUAAAAGUUUCUUCAUUUUUCAGUGAGGGUAUGCCAAUACAAUAAAAGAUGAUUUUAUUUUAGAGAUUUUUAAUUUUCAUCUUUAUCAGGAGUGUUGUAUAUGGCAGUUAAUAUAAGCUCAAUUUAUUCAAGGAUGUUUCUGAUUUAAAAAAAAAAAAAAAAAAAGGGUAGACAUUCAUGGUGCUUAAGAAAAUACAUUGUUUCACUGUUUGUUUUGGUAAAUAAAUCAGACUAACAAACUAACCAACAACAAUCAAACUAACAUCCAUAGUUUCAGAGGGGAAAAGAUCCAGUAUGCCCGUUAUGUUGUGACUACAGAUGUGGAGAAAGUUUUUCUGAAAUAAAACAUCUGCCAAAUAAAC